rnacentral:rRNA from 1 species
AUUGAACGCUGGCGGCAUGCCUUACACAUGCAAGUCGAACGGUAACGGGCCUUCGGGUGCCGACGAGUGGCGAACGGGUGAGUAAUGCAUCGGAACGUACCUUUCAGUGGGGGAUAACGUAGCGAAAGUUACGCUAAUACCGCAUAUUCUGUGAGCAGGAAAGCAGGGGAUCGCAAGACCUUGCGCUGAUUGAGUGGCCGAUGUCGGAUUAGCUAGUUGGUGAGGUAAAGGCUCACCAAGGCGACGAUCUGUAGCGGGUCUGAGAGGAUGAUCCGCCACACUGGAACUGAGACACGGUCCAGACUCCUACGGGAGGCAGCAGUGGGGAAUUUUGGACAAAUGGGGGGCAACCCUGAUCCAGCCAUGCCGCGUGAGUGAAGAAGGCCUGG